rnacentral:rRNA from 1 species
UACGGAGGGCGCAAGCGUUGUUCGGAAUCACUGGGCGUAAAGCGCGUGUAGGCGGCUUGGUAAGUCGGGUGUGAAAGCCCGGGGCCUAACCCCGGAACUGCACUCGAAACUGCCUCGCUCGAGUCCCGGAGAGGAUGGUGGAAUUCCCGGUGUAGUGGUGAAAUACGUAGAUAUCGGGAGGAACACCAGCGGCGAAGGCGGCCAUCUGGACGGUGACUGGCGCUGAGACGCGAAAGCGUGGGGAGCAAACAGG